UACGUAGGGUGCAAGCGUUGUCCGGAAUUAUUGGGCGUAAAGAGCUCGUAGGCGGUUUGUCGCGUCUGCUGUGAAAACUCGGGGCUUAACCCCGGGCCUGCAGUGGGUACGGGCAGACUAGAGUGCGGUAGGGGAGAAUGGAAUUCCUGGUGUAGCGGUGAAAUGCGCAGAUAUCAGGAGGAACACCGGUGGCGAAGGCGGUUCUCUGGGCCUUACCUGACACUGAGGAGCGAAAGCGUGGGGAGCAAACAGG
rnacentral:rRNA from 1 species